UCUGCAUGGUAAAUUUCAGUAAUGAAAGAUGGAAGGAAGUAGGGGAGAGAAAAAACUAUGUUUACCAAAGAUAAAAAUUAAACAUUUUAAGCAAUAAAACAUUAACACAGAUAAGUAUACAUGUUAACUGAAGUGAAGCAAGUUGAAAAGUUGUUCAUAUUCUAUAAAGGUUCACUGAUAUCUAUGAUAUAUAACCACCAUAGAGUGAAAACUGCCAUAACACAAGGUAGGUUUUUUUUUUUUUUUAAUGCUUUGUUGCUUAAAUCCAACACACUAAUGCCCAAGGACAGGUUUCUUCGUUUUCAGAAAACAAAUUUUCAGAAAACAAAGCUUCUGGGACAUUUCUAGAUAGAAUAAACAAAAUUAAAGACUAAAACACUACCUUACUAUUUUUGGGAAUAAAAAUGGGUUGUUUUUAUAUGUUUAAAGUCUUAGGCUGGGCAUGGUGGGUCACACCUGUAAUCCUAGCACUUUGGGAGGCCGUGGCAGGUGCAUCAUGAUGUCAGGAACUUGAGACCAGCCUGGCCAACAUGGUGAAACCCCAUCUCUACU